UUACGGCCACAUCACGUUGAAACACCGCUUCCUAUACGAUCACCGAAGUUAAGCAACAUCAAGCCUGGUCAAUACCUCGAUGGGUGACCACUCGGGAAUACCAGGUACUGUAAG